AGGAUAAACGCUGGCGGCGUGCCUAACACAUGCAAGUCGAACGUCUCUUCUUUCGGGAAGAGGAGUGGCGGACGGGUGAGGAACACGUGGGAACCUGCCCUUCAGUGAGGAAUACCGGCGAGAAAUCGCCGACAAGACCGCAUAGCCCUCUCUGGUGAGAGCCAGAGAAGGAAAGCCUCGCAAGAGGCGCUGGAGGAGGGGCCUGCGUCCGAUUAGCUAGUUGGUGGGGUAAGAGCCUACCAAGGCGUCGAUCGGUAGCUGGUCUGAGAGGACGAUCAGCCACACUGGGAUUGAGAACGGCCCAGACUCCUACGGGGGCAGCAGUGAGGAAUUUUCGGCAAUGGGGGAAACCCUGACCGAGCAACGCCGCGUGCAGGAAGACGGCCUUCGGUGUAAACUGCUUUCUUUGGACGAGCAAGGACGGUACCAGAGGAAUCAGCCCGGCUCACUACGUGCCAGCAGCCGC
rnacentral:rRNA from 1 species